UAGCUGUAAUGGCUCAAUCGUUUGGGAGUGGGCUAAUCUCUAAUGUUGCUGUUCGCGUGCGACUUCUGACGUACGCUAUACGAUUUUGUCCGGUUCGAAUCCUGUGGUCGGCGGUUUCGUGAGAUACGGGUAACCUGUCUUCGCGUCCGCUCUAAGAAAUUGAGUACACUUGAGUAGAGCAAUCUAGCAGAGGCUUCUUUGCCAUGGGAUGGCGACCCGGAUCACAGAGUCGUGUAUUGAAUGGUGGCUGGGGAUGCGUUAGCCUGCGACCAGAUAUU
rnacentral:SRP_RNA from 1 species